AUCGCGUCGCCCCCCGAACGCCGCAAGGCGUCGUGGGGCGGAUACUGGCCUCCCGUGCGCCUCGAGCUCGUGGCUGGCCUAAAUGCGAGUCCACGUCGACGGACGUCGCGGCAAGUGGUGGUUGAAACUCAACUCUCUUUGUGUCGCGGCUACAGCCCGUCGCGCGUCCGGACUCCAGACCCUCUAAGCGCUUAGGCGCUCCGA
rnacentral:misc_RNA from 1 species